CUGAGGGUACUCUGGCUGUAACAUCUGUCACCCCAGUGAUCAUCAGGGUUGAUCCAGAUGCUGGCUGGCUGGCUGCGUGUCCCCUUCCUCCCCAACCACUGGAUGUGCACCUCCCAGCAAUGCCACACUGUCAGCCAGAGAGGAAGACCUUCCCCCACACAGGAGUACAUUUCUGAGGUCAAGGGUAGCUGCACUGCCCUGCUAGCAACCCUCCACACAAAUUCCAAAUGCUGCCAAGGUUGUGAAAGAACAGGAACUCUCAUUCAUUCCAGGUGGGAAUGAAAGAU
ensembl:misc_RNA 7SK 7SK RNA